rnacentral:rRNA from 1 species
UACGUAGGGUGCGAGCGUUGCCCGGAUUUAUUGGGCGUAAAGGGCGCGUAGGCGGUUUGUUAAGUCGGCUGUGAAAGCCCGGGGCUCAACCCCGGAGGGUCAGCCGAUACUGGCAGGCUAGAGUACAGAAGAGGUAACUGGAAUUCCCGGUGUAGCGGUGAAGUGCGUAGAUAUCGGGAGGAACACCUGAGGCGAAGGCGGGUUACUGGGCUGAUACUGACGCUGAUGCGCGAAAGCCAGGGGAGCAAACGGG